UUUUUAUUUCCAAAUUCCCCCUCCCUUCGAAACCCUAAAUUUCUCCCCUAAAAUUGGUAUCCUCAAAACUCUCUUUUCACACACGCCGUUUUCAUCGGUUUACCUUGGAACCCAUACGAUCCCUUCCCCUUUCCCUGUCUCUUUCCCUUUCCCUUUGGCUUUGAAAAAAUUCAAUUCUUAUAUUCAUUAUUCUGUUCUUAAUUUCGGUUUUGAUCUACUUGCAAGAAAGAAUCAAGAGUAUUUUUCAGGUUUUGACGAUGAUGAUGGUGAUGGUGAAGCGGCGGUGAAUCAGUACGUAGCGGAUUUAUCGGUGGGCAGUCCGUUGAGUAUGGACAAGCCUUUCUGGGAACUACACCUCUUAAAGGCGCACAAUUGUGUCGUUUUCAGGAUUCAUCAUGCUUUAGGGGAUGGGUUUUCGUUGAUGUCCAUGUUGAUGGCUGGAAGCGGGAAGGUAGAUGUUCCCGCGGCGGUUCCUCCCAUUAAGACUGAGGGAAUUAAGAGCGGGAAAAGAAGGGACAGGUUCUGGUUGUUAAGUCUUCUCUGGGGGGUUUUAAGAUGGUCCGUUACACUUUGGUGUUUGUGCUGGAGUUUGUGGUGAGGAGCUUGUUUGUGUGCGACCGGAAAACAGUGAUAUCAGGCGGAGAUGGCGUCGAACUCUGGCCGAGGAAAUUGGCCACCGCUAAGUUCUUACUUGAAGACAUGAAGGAGGUUAAAAGGGCUAUUCCAAAUACAACCAUUAAUGAUGUUCUGCUUGCAAUGGUGUCAUCUGGGCUAUCAAGAUACUUAGAGCACCGAACACCAGACGGUUCAGAGUGAUCAUCAUGAGGUUGUUGCUGAUUUGGUACAGACAGGUUUUCUCUAAAGAAUUAUUGUUUUUAUGAUUGUAGCUACUGGUGCCGAUGGUAGUACAAAGUGUGAGUGAAAUGGUAGAGAAAUGGGGGAGGAGCAGAUCCGGGGAGAUUGAAAUUGAAGUUUGCGAAUGGUUUCAGAGACUUACGGAAGAUGUGAUAAUGCGUACAGUGUUUGGGAGCUGGUAUGAAGAUGAUGAUGGGAAAGCCAUUUUUCGUUUACAAGCACAACAAAUGGUGCUUGCUACUCAGGCUUUGCGAAUUGUUUCCUUACCUGCCAAUAGGUCCUUCUCUGGAAAAGGAUUGCGUUUUUUGUUGAGUUCAGAUCAACAGGACUGAAUCAGAUUUGAAGUUCUAAAUAUUUUGAAGCAUGUAACCUUUGGUGACAACAGCGUGCAGUCCUUGCAUCUGGCUUAGAAAUUGUAAUACUUUGUGUGUCUGUGUGUGUGUGUGUUUUUUAUGUAUUAAAUUACAUAUUGAAUCAGUGUUUAUCUAUUAAAUUUAAUUUAUUAAUUUUUAUAUUUAA